AAACGACGGCCAGUUGGUGCAUGGCCGUUCUUAGUUGGUGGAGCGAUUUGUCAGGUUAAUUCCGGUAACGAACGUAACUCUAGCCUAUUAAAUAGACGUAUCUCCGGUAUCGCGAGGCGUUCGCUCUCGGGCGGACCUUCAACUACCGGCGUACAUUGAAUUCUUCUUAGAGGGACCGGCGGUAUAUAUAGCCGCACGAGAUUGAGCAAUAGCAGGUCUGUGAUGCCCUUAGAUG
rnacentral:rRNA from 1 species